rnacentral:lncRNA from 1 species
GGCUUCUUCUUCUUUUUUCCUUUUUUAACCCCAGAAACUCACGCAAAAGAAUGACCGGAAAACUGUACGUCGGUCUAUCGAAGAACAGCAAAGGCUGCAGUAAGGAAAAUUCAGAAAAAUAUGGAAAAAUACGGGUUAGAAGCAUAGUGACACAAGCUUUCCACCAAGAGCAAGAUCACUCAAAACGGAUGUCGGACAGUGGAGAAAACUGAAAAACACUGUCCUGCAGCGACGCCAGAAAACGGAUGCAGAAGUUUCGAAGCUCCGAAAGUCCACCACAGAAGCGGAAUAUGAGGGUCAAAGUGAAGGACAAAGUCCUAGAUAUUUCCAGAUGCGCCUCGUCGUGAGCUUUCCAAAAAGUCAAAGAACGUCCAAAUCCGAGUUGGUAUGCAAAAGAUACGCCCGUUUUACUGAACACGGGUCAAGCCCAACCGAAACUAAAAUUCUCUCAACGUUGAUCCGAAACUGAUUCUUUCUCUCUCUUUUUUCGUUUAUUUUCUUUCUUUCUUUCCUUGUUUUUCCUUUCUUUUCUUUCCUUGCUUUUUUUUCAACUUUCCAAACAACUUGAUCUCUAAACAAAACUCAAUCUAUUAUGAAACACUUUCCAAAAGCACUCUUCAUUGAACUUGGACUCGAAAUAGGAGCGGACGGAAACUCUGAUACCACGUGAUAUGGGUGUGGGUGGCCCGAUCUUUCGAUGAGAUUGAUAACUCUUGAUUUGGGUAGGAGGUGACGUUGACAAUCCGACUACGACCUAGGAGACAGCGCCUUAGCAAUCGAUACACCAACUCCGGAGGGUUAUUGAUCACGCGGGGGCACGAUCAACCUAACCACGAAGGUCUUUGUUCCUGCAAGCAAUCGAAGAACAAGCAAGAACAAGAUAAAUAGCCGAUGCAAUGUGAAAUUGCGAGUAUACUAUAUCAAACCAAUGUCUCAACGAGACGAUAAGUUGGGG